rnacentral:rRNA from 1 species
UGCAGUCGGACGGAAUUCAGGAAGUAGCUUGCUACUAACUGAUGAGAGUGGCGCACGGGUGCGUAACGCGUGAGCGACCUACCCAUAUCAGGGGGAUAGCCUCUCGAAAGAGAGAUUAACACCGCAUAACAUCAUUUACCGGCAUCGGUUUUUGAUCAAAUAUUUAUAGGAUAUGGAUGGGCUCGCGUGACAUUAGCUAGUUGGAGAGGUAACGGCUCACCAAGGCUACGAUGUCUAGGGGCUCUGAGAGGAGAAUCCCCCACACUGGUACUGAGACACGGACCAGACUCCUACGGGAGGCAGCAGUAAGGAAUAUUGGUCAAUGGAGGCAACUCUGAACCAGCCAUGCCGCGUGCAGGAUGACUGCCCUAUGGGUUGUAAACUGCUUUUGUCAGGGAAUAAACCUUUCUACGUGUAGGAAGCUGAAUGUACCUGAAGAAUAAGGAUCGGCUAACUCCGUGCCAGCAGCCGCGGUAAUACGGGAGGAUCCAAGCCGUUAUCCCGGAUUUAUUGGGGUUUAAAGGGUGGCGUAGGCCGGUCCUAUAAGUCAGUGGGUGAAAGACGGCAGCUUAACUGUCGCAGUGCCUUUGAUACUGUAGGACUUGAAUCUAUUUGAAGUGGGCGGAAUAAGACAAGUAGCGGUGAAAUGCAUAGAUAUGUCUUAGAACUCCGAUUGCGAAGGCAGCUCACUAAGUUAGUAUUGACGCUGAUGCACGAAAGCGUGGGGAUCAAACAGGAUUAGAUACCCUGGUAGUCCACGCCCUAAACGAUGAUAACUCGAUGUUUGCGAUACACAUAAAGCGGCCGAGCCGAAAGCGUUAAGGUAUCCACCUGGGGGAGGACGGUCGCGGGAUGG